UACGUAGGGUGCGAGCGUUGUCCGGAAUUAUUGGGCGUAAAGGGCUCGUAGGCGGUCUGUUGCGUCGGGAGUGAAAACUCAGGGCUUAACCCUGAGCCUGCUUCCGAUACGGGCAGACUAGAGGUAUGUAGGGGAGAACGGAAUUCCUGGUGUAGCGGUGAAAUGCGCAGAUAUCGGGAGGAACACCGGUGGCGAAGGCGGUUCUCUGGGCCUGUGCUGACGCUGAGGAGCGAAAGCGUGGGGAGCGAACAGG
rnacentral:rRNA from 1 species